UAGCUAGUUGGUGGGGUAAGGGCCUACCAAGGCGACGAUCGGUAGCUGGUCUGAGAGGAUGGCCAGCCACACUGGAACUGAGACACGGUCCAGACUCCUACGGGAGGCAGCAGUGGGGAAUAUUGGACAAUGGGGGAAACCCUGAUCCAGCAAUGCCGCGUGUGUGAAGAAGGCCUGAGGGUUGUAAAGCACUUUCAGUGGGGAGGAGGGUUGAUAGGUUAAGAGCUGAUUGACUGGACGUUACCUACAGAAGAAGCACCGGCUAACUCCGUGCCAGCAGCCGCGGUAAUACGGAGGGUGCGAGCGUUAAUCGGAAUUACUGGGCGUAAAGGGUGCGUAGGUGGUUGAAUAAGUUAUCUGUGAAAUUCCUGGGCUUAACCUGGGCAGGUCAGAUGAUACUGUUUAACUCGAGUAUGGGAGAGGGUAGUGGAAUUUCCGGUGUAGCGGUGAAAUGCGUAGAGAUCGGAAGGAACACCAGUGGCGAAGGCGGCUACCUGGCCUAAUACUGACACUGAGGCACGAAAGCGUGGGGAGCAAACAGGAUUAGAUACCCUGGUAGUCCACGCUGUAAACGAUGUCAACUAGCUGUUGGAUAUAUGAAUAUAUUUAGUGGCGC
rnacentral:rRNA from 1 species